UUUUGACCUCAAAUCAGGUAGGAUUACCCGCUGAACUUAAGCAUA
rnacentral:rRNA from 1 species